UCUGCAGAAAUAUUCUUCAUAUGAUCUAGGCCUGUUCUGACCGCAGUGGAUCUCUUCUGUGUUUUUUGAAUCCCAUGUUGGACCGAGCCUCUCCAAGCUUUGGGCCAUCAGAAGACGCUGAUGAGAUCUGCAGCGACCAAACCAGAGGAGGAUCAUCUGGGCUGCUGACCUUUACAAAGAGUGAGAGCAUGUUCAACACUGUGGACGUCCAAAAGCAGAACUUCUGUGAGGAACCGGGACAUCCAGGAUGGUGAGGAGCUUCCCAGUCCCCACCUGAGGACGGCACAGAGAAAGACUGGAACAGAAAACACAUGGAGGAAAGCUGGUUUAACAUGGAAGCAAUGUUCUAGCAGUCGGAUCACAUUGGAACAGAGUCCAUCCACACGUGUUUGGAGGAGCUGAAGAAGAGGAUGGAGAAACCAGACUCUCUCUCCAACGUUCUGGAGUCCUGGAGUAAAAUAACGAUGACGACCCCGCAGCUAAACCAUCAGUCUGCUCCACCCAGUAGAAGAAG